GCCAAUCAAAAGCCUCCCCACCUCAAGAAUCAAUUAUUUAAAUUAUUCACCAAAACAUUUACAAAUCCAAGUAUAGGUGAUAGAAAAGAUCACAUGAGCGCAAUAGCUAUAAGUACCGCAAGGGAAAAAUGAAAGACAAAUUUAACAGCACUAAAAAGCAAAGACUAAACCUUUUACCUUUAGCAUAAUGAUUUAGCCAGAAUACUCGGACAAAAAGAAUUUAGCCCGUCUUCCCGAAAUCAAGUGAGCUACUAUAAAAGUAGCACCAAGAGCCAACUCUUCUAUGUAGCAAAAUAGUGAGAAAAUUCUAUAGUAGAGGUGAAAAGCCUACCGAACUUGAAGAUAGCUGGUUAUCCAAAACAUGAAUUUUAGUUCAACUUUAAAUUUAAUAAAAGUACACUAUAAACUUAACUUAAAUUUAAAAGCUAAUCAAAAGUGGGACAGCCCUUUUGACUAAGUAGACAAACUUACUUAGAGGAUAAUGAUAAACUCACACACAUUGUAGGCCUAAAAGCAGCCAUCAAUUAAGAAAGCGUUAAAGCUCAAACCAUUAAACACACUAAAUUACCUAAAUAAUAUCAAAUUCCCUAAUAAUUAGUUAUUGGAUGACUCUAUAAACCUAUAGAAGACAUACUGCUAAAAUCAGUAACAAGAAACACUUUCUCCAAGCAUAAGCCUAAAUUAGCAACGGAACACCCACUAACAAUUAACAACCAGAUAAUAAAAACCAUUAACUAGUAACCUAUUACACCAAUUGUUAACCCAACACAGGAAUGCGUAUAAAGGAAAGAUUAAAUAGAAUAAAAGGAACUCGGCAAACUCUAACCCCGCCUGUUUACCAAAAACAUCACCUCUAGCAUACUAAAUAUUAGAGGCCACGCCUGCCCAGUGAGUCUAACUUCAACGGCCGCGGUAUCCUGACCGUGCAAAGGUAGCAUAAUCACUUGUCCCUUAAAUAGAGACUUGUAUGAAUGGCAUCACGAGGGUUUAACUGUCUCUUAUUCUAAAUCAGUGAAAUUGACCUCCCCGUGCAGAGGCGGGGAUUAACCUACAAGACGAGAAGACCCUGUGGAGCUUAAAGUUCAUAGCUUACAGCCAAACCUAAUUCAUCCAAUAGGAAUAAAUGACAACACUAUUAAGCUAUAACUUUUGGUUGGGGUGACCUCGGAGUAUAAAACAACCUCCGAAUAGUAUUACUAAGAUUAACUAAUCUAAGUGCAUAAAGCCUAUUAUUGACCCAAAUAUUGAUCAACGGACCAAGUUACCCCAGGGAUAACAGCGCAAUCCUAUUUUAGAGCCCAUAUCGACAAUUAGGGUUUACGACCUCGAUGUUGGAUCAGGACAUCCAAAUGGUGUAACCGCUAUUAAUGGUUCGUUUGUUCAACGAUUAAAGUCCUACGUGAUCUGAGUUCAGACCGGAGAAAUCCAGGUCGGUUUCUAUCUGUAUAUUUAUUUCUCCCAGUACGAAAGGACAAGAGAAAUAAGGCCAACAUUACUCAAUGAGCCUUAAGAACAAGACAUGAAUUUAUCUAAACAUCCUAUUCUAACAAAUAAAUGCUCAAGAAAAGAGUU
rnacentral:rRNA from 1 species